AGUGAACGCUGGCGGUAGGCCUAACACAUGCAAGUCGAACGGCAGCACAGUAAGAGCUUGCUCUUACGGGUGGCGAGUGGCGGACGGGUGAGGAAUACAUCGGAAUCUACUUUUUCGUGGGGGAUAACGUAGGGAAACUUACGCUAAUACCGCAUACGACCUACGGGUGAAAGCAGGGGAUCUUCGGACCUUGCGCGAUUGAAUGAGCCGAUGUCGGAUUAGCUAGUUGGCGGGGUAAAGGCCCACCAAGGCGACGAUCCGUAGCUGGUCUGAGAGGAUGAUCAGCCACACUGGAACUGAGACACGGUCCAGACUCCUACGGGAGGCAGCAGUGGGGAAUAUUGGAUAAUGGGCGCAAGCCUGAUCCAGCCAUACCGCGUGGGUGAAGAAGGCCUUCGGGUUGUAAAGCCCCUUUGUUGGGAAAGAAAAGCAGCAGGUUAAUACCCCGCUGUUCUGACGGUACCCAAAGAAUAAGCACCGGCUAACUUCGUG
rnacentral:rRNA from 1 species